ensembl:lncRNA
UCUAAUCAGCUGACUGAGGAUCUGCAAAGCAAAGGAAGGCUGUGAAAAGAAGUGCUUCCGGGUAGCUAUUUGCACUGUCCGAAAUGUCAUUAAGAAUUAGCAGUUCGGGGGGAACUGUGCAAGUCAAGGCAAGAUCUGAAACGGCUCAUAUAGUAUGCUGGCAAGAAAAGCAAAGCAAAACCACCAUCUGACACUAAAGACCUGCAGGAAGGUUUAGCUGACACAGUGCAGCGCUGCUUGUACAUGUAUACGGUCUGCAUGGAAGAGUCAUCAGAAGAGACACUUUACGUGCAACCUCGUCACAAAAGUGAACGUCUGAUAUAUGCAAACAUUAUCUAGAUAAGCCAGAGGCAUUUUGGAACUUUCUAUGGACUGAUGAAGUAAGGAUGGAGCGGUCACUACCAUCACCAGUGGUAUGUUUGGAAAAAUGAAGGAGAAGCAUUUGAUGAAAAGUAUAUCUUGUUAAUUAUUAACCAUGGUGGUAGAGAUAUACUUCUGGUUUGUGUGGCACAGGAAACAUUGCGCAGGUAAAGGGAGGAGCGACAUCGAACUGCUUAUUAAGAGAAACAGCCCUGAUGCCAUGGAUAUCUUGAAAACAUCUGGUCAUGAUAACAUGGCAUCUUUGUCAUUGGACGUAAACUAUGAUGGUGACUCAUGGCGGCAUAUAACAGCUUCCCUCAUUAUGUCAUAAUGGGUAAAUAGUAAGCUUUUUAUGGUUUAAUACAUGGGUGUCCAAUCUUAUCCGCAAAGGUCCGGUGUGGACUGGACACGCCUGGUUUAAUAUAACAAAUGUUUUCCAUUCUUUCCUUCCCUUCUCAUUCUUUAGCCUUCUCUGUUUUUCUCUUUCUCCUUUUCCCUCCUGGAGGAUACUGACGCUGCUCUGGUCGUCUGUUUUAUUCCUCCCUCUUUCCUGUGACAGGAGGAUUUAUUUUUCCCUGCGCCAGUACUCUGUCUAAAAUCCUCUUCUCAGAGUAUAAAAGCAUCACGCGCUCUUUCUGCUUCUCUCCCCCUCCCUCCAUGCCUCCAUCCCUCCUGACUCGUCCUCAUCACCCCUCCCUCAGUACGUGUUGCAGGAACAUCGCUUGCUAUUGGUGUUGGCCUGCUGUUAAUGUCGUGCAUCAUUGCCACCAUAACCCCACGGGGAGGAGGAGAGAAUCUCGUUUUUUUCCCCCCCUGUCUUGCUCCCUCACUUGCCGAUAAUGCAGAUCUCGGUAAUUGAAUUUUGAUGUUUUUUUGCUUCCUGCUGAAGGACAGAGUGUCGCAGACGACCAGCCUGAGGAGAAGAGAGGUGAUCUCCAUCAUCCCAUGCUCUCAUCUCGUUCCUCUCUGCUCAUUUGUCUUAGCAUGCAGAUCCUGAUUGUUUUUUAUCCUUUCUGUGAGCAUCAUCAUCAUCAUCUCUCUCUCUCGCCCUCUCUCAUCUAGCCGUUUCUGAAAACAUCCUCAUGAGUCUCUCCCUGUCAUUA